rnacentral:rRNA from 1 species
UACGUAGGGUGCAAGCGUUGUCCGGAAUUAUUGGGCGUAAAGAGCUCGUAGGCGGUCUGUCGCGUCGGCUGUGAAAUCCCGAGGCUCAACCUCGGGUCUGCAGUCGAUACGGGCAAACUAGAGUAUUGCAGGGGAGACUGGAAAUUCCUGGUGUAGCGGUGAAAUGCGCAGAUAUCAGGAGGAACACCGGUGGCGAAGGCGGGUCUCUGGGCCGUAACUGACGCUGAGGAAGCGAAA